rnacentral:lncRNA from 1 species
GGAGGUGGAGAGUUCACUUGCGGAGGAGGAGAAGCAGGAGGAGUGGGAGGUGGUGUAGAUGAAACGACCGGUGGUGGUGAAGCAGUUGGUGGUGGCUGAGCCGGUGGCGUUUGAGUGUUAACUGGAGGAGGAGAACUAUUGGGUGUUGGUGGAGCUUGGUUCGUGGGUGUUGGUGGUGCCUGGGUAGUGGGUGUAGGAGGAGCUUGGUUCGUGGGUGUUGGUGGUGCCUGGGUAGUGGGUGUAGGUGGUGCUUGGGUAGUAGGGGGUGUAGGAGGAGCUUGGUUAGUGGGUGUUGGUGGUGCCUGGUUAGUGGGUGUAGGUGGUGCUUGGGUAGUAGGGGGUGUUGGUGGUGCUUGAGUAGGUGUUGGUGGUCCUGGAGGUGCUUGACCACCAACUCCAGCUAUGAUAAUGCAGAUCAUAAAUCCCAACGAAACAGCAUUAUUCCUAUCCAUCAUUUUGACAAUAUAAUGGAGAGGAGGAAAUUGAA